UAAAACAGUAAAAACAACCACACAAAAGAAAACAGAGAGAACCACCAGACAGGCUGAGAGGACGCAGUACCAUAAAGCAGCCAACACUGAUGAUCAGUGGGGCAUCAAUUUGUCUAUCAGGUUGUAGCCCCUGCCACUAAUUGGUGCGAAGAGCUCCCUGGUCGCUGUGUGGUUUAGAGCCUUCAGCUCUCCCCUGCAAGGGCUGAAGCAGGACAGCUAAUUGCUGUUGCUUCGGUGCCAGUGAAUCAACGUGCUGAGCUAAUAGCAACAGAUAGAGGGCAGACAGAUCCCUGCUAGCAGCUUAGAGUUAGUUGCUUGUGAUAACUAAGGCAGUUGGCAUAUAUCUCAGAACCCGGAGAAGGAUGGUAUGCCUUCUGGAUUAAUACGUUGAGGUUUUUUUUUGUUUGUUUUUUUAAAUCUCUAGUUACGUUUUUCUUGAUGAUGUGAAACUGGAUAACAAUGCCUCCCAGAAACAAGAAGUGUGACGUGAGAACAAACCGUCUUAGACCUAGAUUAUGAACACUGGUUGUUUUGAAAGGAAUGUGCAGGAGACAGCCUUUGCAAGAAAACUUGCUGCAUAACCUUACAUGGGCUAAAGAUGAAACUUUAAACUGGCAAAUAGAAUGAUCAUAGUCUCAUCCAACAGUAUAUAAAUGAACUAUGCUUCUUCAUCCAGAUAACUUAAGCUGGGAAUAGUCAAUUUAAACAACCAGUUUGACAAGUCAUCUUGAGGUAAAAUCUCAGUUGAUAAAAUAAUUUCAUUGUGUUGAUAUCCUGUAGACUGAAAUUCAAAUAAGACCUCAAAAUAUAAAGUUCUUAAUCUUGUUAAGAUAAAAG
rnacentral:lncRNA from 1 species